UUUUAUCUCUUCACAUUUUGUUUUUCAUUAAAUUUCACAUCAACAAUCAAUCGCCGUUCAUUAUCAUCAGCCAUUUCCGCAUCCGCUUACUAAUUCAACACGUUUGUACGCAUCUGGCAAUUCGCAGAAUUAUAACGGCUGGUAAAUGCUAGUUAAGUCGGAAUUUAACACAUUGACAGUUUGAAAUUUUUGCUGAUUUUGAGUAAGCUAAUAUGUGACGUAAACGAUGCUAUUUUAUUGUGUAGUGAAAUACUUGGUUUUGCUUCUAUUCUUUUUCCUCUGUUUCUAUAAUUCUGAAGAUGGAAUUAUUUUAGUAAAAAAAUUUGUUUAUACGAAGCGGUAUUAAUUUUUGAGUUGAUGCCUUUUAGCUCGUGAUCACCGACGAGUCUCAUUUCGGACUGUUAUUGAUCUAGUAAAAAGUAAUCAACGCUUACCAUAACCCAACUGAAGAAUUGGGAUUUCGUUUCAUAAAAAGGUCAUGCAUAAAUAACGGCUCUCGCAAGGUUUCACUUUUAAUGCAUAUUUAUUGUUAAAUGCUGUUUUACAACUGGCUUUGCGGAAUGACUUAAACGAGCAUGGAUGGAUGUAUUUAAUAUAAAUUGUACGCACGAACACGUACGAAGAAUUGUUCGAAUUUACAUGCUGUUAAAAGAAAACUGAACGACGCUUGAUCUAUAUCCGGCCAAGAACUAUCAGCUCUGUCAUUUCCAUCUAAACUAUUCGCUAUGCAACAACUAAUUUGUGAAAAUAGCUGCGAAUUUCGGCUAAGAAAACAUUUCUGAAAUCAAACUUUGUAUUGUGCGAAAAUUAAAAAUAAAUGUUUUGAUAAAAGGAAA